UGCAUAGCUCAGUUGGUAGCGCAUGAGAUUCUUAAUCUCAGGGUUGUGGGUUCAAGUCCCACUUGGGCAA
rnacentral:tRNA from 1 species